rnacentral:lncRNA from 1 species
AAUGAGAGUGCCCCACGUUUUUCAAGUUAAGAACCCUUGUAGUAACUCUUAUAGUGGUCUGUAGGGGGUCUGUUGAUAGACCAAAUUAUGUCCCUAUUCAAUAUACCCUCAUUUUCAAGAUUCAGUCCACAUUAUAAAUAACCUGAAUCCUCAUCCCAGACGAUCUUUAUUACAGGACCCACAUAUUGAUUUUUUUUUUACUUAUUCUCGACAUGCACAUGCAUGAAACAUUUGCCUAUGGAAGUUUAGCAACCACAAAUCAAUCAAUCAUAUAUUUCGAUGAACUAUUAUACUUUUCUUUUGUAGGUAUCCUGGAGAUGGAUCUGAAAUAGUAGGAUAAUCACAUGUUAAUGUUGACACAAGUCGUUUUGCUAUUAAAUAUUAUUGCAGAA